rnacentral:rRNA from 1 species
AGGAUGAACGCUGGCGGCGUGCUUAACACAUGCAAGUCGAGCGGUGAAGUGAGGAGCUUGCUCCUUGCGGAUCAGUGGCGAACGGGUGAGUAACACGUGAGUAACCUGCCCUUGACUCUGGGAUAAGCGUUGGAAACGACGUCUAAUACCGGAUACGACCUCCGAAGGCAUCUUGUGGAGGUGGAAAGAAUUUCGGUCAAGGAUGGACUCGCGGCCUAUCAGCUAGUUGGUGAGGUAAUGGCCCACCAAGGCGACGAUCAGUAGCUGGUCUGAGAGGAUGAUCAGCCACAUUGGGACUGAGAACGGCCCAGACUCCUACGGGAGGCAGCAGUAGGGAAUUUUCCACAAUGGGCGAAAGCCUGAUGGAGCAACGCCGCGUGCAGGAUGAAGGCCUUAGGGUUGUAAACUGCUUUUAUGUGUGACGAAUAUGACGGUAGCAUAUGAAUAAGGAUCGGCUAACUCCGUGCCAGCAGCCGUA